rnacentral:tRNA from 1 species
AAAUUUGUGGCUCAAUGGUAGCACGCCUGACUCCAGAUUAGAAAAUUGUGUGUUCGAUUCACAUCGGGUUCA